rnacentral:lncRNA from 1 species
UGGUUCCUUCAUUGGAUGGAUAUGAAUCUCGACCAGGUAUUGGGAAUGCGAGAAGCAGUACAUUGGUCAGAUAAAUAUCUACAACAAAAUCUUUAAGGGUACGUCAACCUUUUAUUUCUAGUUGAGUAGGAGCAUUGGUUACAUAUUUCUCUUUGCUGCAUGAUAUUAGCUGGGCUCAUUUUCAUGCCAUAUAAAAAAUACAUUUAGUUGUAACCGUGUUAUGCUCACUUGUUUUAUGAAAAUCUUGCAUUUUUGUUGUUUUAUUUGUCUUUAUUAAGUGAACAAGAUACGUAAUCAACUACUAAACAUUCUCUUGAACAUAACAACUAUCACCUUCCUAUCCUAUUUGUCCGAAAUCACUUUUUAGAAAACAAUUCCAAUUUUAGCUGUCUCAGUCAAACAGCAACCGUCCUAUAUGAUCAACUCGAAGCAGUUCAGCGACUCGACCAUCCAUCUCCAACAAAUCAACCUUUAUUCUAAACACAAGCUCUUCUUCAGUUACAUCUUAUAUAAGACCAUCCACUCCCAGUCGCUCUUCAUCAACUACAACUAUUAGAUUUCGUGCCCCCAAAUUAGGGUUAUUUUUGGAAAAUAUUGUUUCAUUAUUUUCACGUGAUUUUAUUGAAAAAUAUUGUUUCCUUAUUUUCAAAUGAUUUUAUUGGAAAAAUAUUAUUUCCUUUAAUCCACAUUGUCUUUUAUAUUAUUUCCAUCUUCAUGAUAUUUUUAGGGUUUGGUAUGUCUCUAUAAAUAUGUGGCUUUUCAUUUAGUUUAAGUGAAACUUUAUUGUUGAAUUCUAGUAUUCUCUCCACAUAUUGUCUUUAAUAAAACAUCGAUUCCUCUACUUAUCUCUCUUCAGUUUCUUUACUUUAAUCUUGUUUUCUUCGUUGUGAUCAUAUAUAUUUCAUAUUGUCCAUUAAUUAAAAUUCUUGCAUCGCCUUCGGGUUCAACAAGUGGUAUCAAAGCUAGGCGACAAGUUCUUUAUGAUUUGAUUGGGAUUUUUCAGAUAUGACUACAUUGAAGUAUGAUAUUCCGCUACUGGAUCGCAUUACAAGAUUUUCAUUGUGGUAAGUAAAGAUCAGGGUUGUGUUGGCACAGAUGGAUGUAGACGAUGCUUUGUUGACUUUUGAUAAAAUGCCAGCAAAAUGUACAACGAAGGAUUCGGUUUAAGAACCGUCGGGUUCGGUUCGGGAGAUUUGCCCAGCCCUAUAUUUAAUGACAUGAUGUAUUUAAAUAAACAUCAUAUGGCUUUUAUAUAAAUUGUGGAAGCAUCCUUAUGAAGUUUAUUGACCAAUUCAACAAAUUUGAACAACGCUCAAUUAUAUAAAUAUGAAGACUCUCUGCAUAUGUGUGGGGUAAUUUAAUGAAUAGUCACUCAACAUUAUUAUAGGUUACUAUUUGCUCAAUGAUAUCCAAAAAGGUAUUCGUUGCUCAAUGAGCUUUGCUAUAUGUUACUAUUUACAAUGAAAUUGCAAGUGGAGGGUAAAGUUUUGGAUGACUACUACUUGUUUUUGUCUGGAAAUUAUGGGAAUUCUUGCAUUGAUAUUCGUUCCACUUGAUUGGUUUUUUCUGAGUGAUUAAGAUGUAUUUGGUGGAGAGUAGAGGGGGAUGUUAAGGCACAUGGCCUGCGAUUUUGAUAAUCCUGGAGACGCUUGGUUGGAUUCACCCUCGAUCGAAUUCAAUAUUCUUCACAAUUGGAAUGAACUCUAGUUCAAUUUUGUUGGGUGGCUUUUGGCUCCUAGAGGAAAUUCACUAAAGCGAGUGGA